ACAUUAUAAUGUUAUAUAUGUUCUAAGCGUUGUUGUAGCAUUCCUAGUUACCGUAAUGUUCGAGUACCCCGUGGCCGAGCUUUUCAGUGCAUUCAAUUUGAAAAAUAGAAAAAGCCAUCUAAAGAGCUCCUAAAUUCGAAGAAUGCGGAAUAACUUAAAAUUCGAAUUACCUUGAAAACUGAAAUUAUGUUAGACGGUAGAAAUCCGUUUUGAAUGUUCGAAUUUCCAAAACAGAAAAAUAAAAAUAUUCAUUCAGUAAUAACA
rnacentral:sRNA from 1 species